UGCCGAAUGAGUAUAACAUGUACAUCGAUUUUUCGCGUCGAGGGUCUUUCUAAAAAUGGAGGAUUCGGUAU
rnacentral:tRNA from 1 species